UACGGCGGGGACUAGCGUUGUUCGGAAUUACUGGGCGUAAAGCGCACGUAGGCGGAUUUGUAAGUCAGGGGUGAAAUCCCGGGGCUCAACCUCGGAACUGCCUUUGAUACUGCAAAUCUCGAGUCCGGAAGAGGUGAGUGGAAUUCCUAGUGUAGAGGUGAAAUUCGUAGAUAUUAGGAAGAGCACCAGUGGCGAAGGCGGCUCACUGGUCCGGUAUUGACGCUGAGGUGCGAAAGCGUGGGGAGCAAACAGG
rnacentral:rRNA from 1 species